rnacentral:lncRNA from 1 species
UUAUUUGUUGUGUGUAGGUCCACGUCCCCUGCUAGCGCCAAAGCAGCGGACACCUACUUGUUGAUCCUCGGAGUCCUCCUGGUUCGAUAAACCUUAUAGUCCCCGUGUAAGGGAAAUCUGCUGCUGACUACAUCUCCACCUUCCACUUGGGGUAACCAACAAGGGGUGAGAAGUAUAUCCAUCAACUCGUCAUCAACUGCUGCUAUAGAAGAUAAGGAGAAGAAGAAGAGGAGGAGAUGAAGAAGAGGAGGAGGAGAAGAGGAACGAUAGGAAGAAGAGGAGGAGAGGAAGAAAAGAAGAGGAAGAGGAGGAGGAGGAAGGAGAGGGAAUAAUGUUUUUUAAUUUUGUUUUAGAUUAAUUUUGUUUUUUUGUUAGAAUUAUUAGGGUUACUAAUAUUUAUAAUUAGGUUUUAGGUGAAUUAUACUUUAGAAUUAUUAGAGGAAGUGGAGGAGAGGAAAAAGAGGAGGAAAAGAAGUAGAAGAAGGAGAAUAAGAAGAGGAGGAUAGGGGAAGAAAAGGAAAAAUAUAAGAAGAUGAGAAGUAGAAGAAAAAGAGGAGAAUAAAAGAAGAGGAGGAGGAGAAGAAAAGAAGAGGAGGAAGAGAAUAAGAGGAGGAGAAGAAGAAGAAGAGGAGGAGAGGAAGAAGAGGAGAAGAAGAAGAGGAGGGGAUUUCUAUUAUUAUUAUUUUUUUGUCAUUUAAUUGCUAUUGUUAUUAUGUAAUCCAAUGUGCUCUAUUUGUGCUAAGUUUGCGGCAAGUUUUGCCGGAAUGUCCGAGUGGCCUAUGUUUUGCGAGAAUGUUGAUUCAUUUCCGUUCCGGCAAAUUUCAGGCGAUCCAUAUGUCCAAUUUUUAGUAGAGGUCAUGCUGAAAAUUUCCGUGAAUUUCGGCACGACUAGUGCUAGAAACUAGGGCAUAUGGAGUGCCCGGGAAUUGUCGGAAAGGGGAAUGAAUCAACAUUCUGACCAAAUAUAGGUCCCUUUUUAUUAUUCAUGUUAUUCAGCCUAGAAUUAAAC